GAAAUGCGAUAAGUAGUGUGAAUUGCAGAAUUCAGUGAAUCAUCGAAUCUUUGAACGCACAUUGCGCCCUUUGGUAUUCCAAAGGGCAUGCCUGUUCGAGCGUCAUUUGUACCCUCAAGCUUUGCUUGGUGUUGGGCGUCUUGUCUCUAGCUUUGCCGGAGACUCGCCUUAAAGUAAUUGGCAGCCGGCCUACUGGUUUCGGAGCGCAGCACAAGUCGCACUCUCUAUCAGCAAAGGUCUAGCAUCCAUUAAGCCUUUUUUUCAACUUUUGACCUCGGAUCAGGUAGGGAUACCCGCUGAACUUAAGC
rnacentral:misc_RNA from 1 species